rnacentral:tRNA from 1 species
GCCAGCUUGAUUAGGCAAACGGAAACAGCAGCGGUAUGUAAAUCCGUCGCGAAAGCUUCACAGGUUCGAAUCCUGUAGGUGCCUCCA